CACGCAGGCGGUUUUGCAAGUCUGAUGUUAAAUACCUGGGCUUAACUCAGGAGAUGCGUUGGAAACUGCAAGACUAGAGUAUUAGAGGGGGAGUCGGAAUUCCUAGUGUGGGGGUGAAAUCUGUUGAUAUUAGGAAGAACACCGGUGGCGAAGGCGGACUCCUGGCUGAAUACUGACGCUGAGGUGCGAAAGCAUAGGGAGCAAACAGGAUUAGAUACCCUGGUAGUCUAUGCUGUAAACGAUGUGCACUUGGUGUUGGGCCGAUUAGGUUCAGUGCCGUAGCUAACGCGAUAAGUGCACCGCCUGGGGAGUAUGCCCGCAAGGGUGAA
rnacentral:rRNA from 1 species